rnacentral:rRNA from 1 species
CCUACGGGAGGCAGUAGUAGGGAAUCUUCCGCAAUGGGCGAAAGCCUGACGCAGCGACGCCGCGUGAGGGAUGAAGGUCUUCGGAUCGUAAAACUCUGUCAGCAGGGAAGAAUGUUCGCUUUACUAAUCAUCCCUGUCUUGACGGUACCUGCUCAGGAAGCACCGGCUAACUCCGUGCCAGCAGCCGCGGUAAUACGUAGGUGGCGAGCGUUAUCCGGAAUUACUGGGCGUAACGCGCUCGUAGGCGGUUUGUCAAGUCAAGGGUGAAAUCCCAGGGCUCAACGUUGGAGCGGCAUUGGAAACUGGAAAACUGGAGUGCGUGAGAGGAAAGUGGAAUUCCAGGUGUAGGAGUGAAAUCCGCAGAGAUAUGGAGGAACAUCAGUGGCGAAGGCGACUAGCUGG